GCACAAGCGGUGGAGCAUGUGGAUUAAUUCGAUGCAACGCGAAAAACCUUACCUGGCCUUGACAUGUAACGAACUUUCCAGAGAUGGAUUGGUGCUCGAAAGAGAACGUUAACACAGGUGCUGCAUGGCUGUCGUCAGCUCGUGUCGUGAGAUGUUGGGUUAAGUCCCGCAACGAGCGCAACCCUUGCCAUUAAUUGCCAUCAUUUAGUUGGGCACUUUAAUGGGACUGCCGGUGACAAACCGGAGGAAGGUGGGGAUGACGUCAAGUCCUCAUGGCCCUUAUGGCCAGGGCUUCACACGUAAUACAAUGGUUGGUACAAAGGGUUGCCAACCCGCGAGGGGGAGCCAAUCCCAUAAAGCCAGUCGUAGUCCGGAUCGCAGUCUGCAACUCAACUGCGUGAAGUCGGAAUCGCUAGUAAUCGUGGAUCAGAAUGUCACGGUGAAUACGUUCCCGGGC
rnacentral:rRNA from 1 species